GCUGCGUAUGGUGGCACACGCCUGUAAUCCCAGCUACUUGAGAGGCCGAGGCAGCAGGAUCUCUUGAGCCCAGGAGCUCUGGGCUGUAGUGCACUCUGCUGGGUCAGGUGUCCACACUAAGUUUGGCAUGAGUAUGGUGACCUCCCAGGAGAGGGAGGUCGCAAAUGGAACAGCUCAGAACUCCGGGGCUGGUCAGUAGUGGGAUUGCACCCGUGAUUAGCCACUGCACUCCAGCCUGGCAACAGUGAGACCCUCU
rnacentral:SRP_RNA from 1 species